CUUGGUUUCGGAUUUCGAUUUCAGGGUCUCAACUCUUUCCUUUGUCUCAGAUUCAAGUUUUGUUUUGUGGAUUCCCUUAACUCAGAUCACCCUCCUCACGAGUUCAGAUUAGUCAUGUCUACAAGGAAAUCAUGCCUCCCAAGGAGCCGCUCAGCUACUUAGUCGCCUGAGAGGGAGCAUUUAUCCUUCA